UUAAAGUUGUUGCAGUUAAAAAGCUCGUAGUUGAACCUUGGGCCUGGCUGGCCGGUCCGCCUCACCGCGUGCACUGGUCCGGCCGGGUCUUUCCUUCUGGGGAGCCGCAUGCCCUUCACUGGGUGUGUCGGGGAACCAGGACUUUUACUUUGAAAAAAUUAGAGUGUUCAAAGCAGGCCUAUGCUCGAAUACAUUAGCAUGGAAUAAUA
rnacentral:rRNA from 1 species